ACGUCUCUUUUUUUUUUUCCCACUUUUUCCUUUACACUCCACUCUCACUUUCUAAGAAGUUUGUGGCUCGGAUCUCUCUUCUCCCUCUCCAUAGAUUCCGUCGCCAUGGCAUAGAGGUUUCUCUUGGAAAUUGCUAAUAGACCCAGGAGACGAGGAAUAGAAAUAUAAGGAAGAGGCUAAAUGAAGUGAAACACAACCAUCCAUUUGCAGGAUUACAUCAAAGAAUGUCAGUUUCCAGCGCAUACCUUCAAAUAUUUUUCUGUGGGAAAAUCCAAAUCAUGCUAUGGUUGGUGAGUGAUCCAAGCUAUGGUUGGUGAGUGAUCCAACGGCAAGAGCAAAGAACUUCAUGAUGUCUUCUCUACCACAGAAGGAUGAUGCCAUGAUAUAGUUGUGUGUGAAUAUUAAAGAUGGAUGAGUUCUAAUUGUUUGCUUCACAGUCUAUUCCACGCCAUUUCAUCAUACUCUUGAGUUAACACUACCAUAAUCCUUAUCACUAAUAGAAUACUAGAUGGUCUGUGCCCGUG